CGGACGGGUGAGAAUGUCUGGGAAACUGCCCGAUGGAGGGGGAUAACUACUGGAAACGGUAGCUAAUACCGCAUAACGUCGCAAGACCAAAGAGGGGGACCUUAGGGCCUCUUGCCAUCGGAUGUGCCCAGAUGGGAUUAGCUAGUAGGUGGGGUAACGGCUCACCUAGGCGACGAUCCCUAGCUGGUCUGAGAGGAUGACCAGCCACACUGGAACUGAGACACGGUCCAG
rnacentral:rRNA from 1 species